rnacentral:rRNA from 1 species
UAAGCGGCGGACGGGUGCGUAACACGUGGAUNCUGCUUCUGGCGGGGAAUAACAGUCCGAAAGGAUUGCUAAUGCCGCAUGUGUCUGUGAGGUUUCCGGAUUUCACAGAGAAAGAGGGCGCCCGCAAGGGGCUCUCACCAGAAGAUGAGUCCGCGUCCCAUCAGCUAGUUGGUGAGGUAACGGCUCACCAAGGCAACGAUCGAUAGGGGGUCUGAGAGGAUGAUCCCCCACACUGGUACUGAGACACGGACCAGACUCCUACGGGAGGCAGCAGUAAGGAAUAUUGGACAAUGGGGGCAACCCUGAUCCAGCCAUGCCGCGUGAAGGAUUAAGGCCCUAUGGGUCGUAAACUUCUUUUAUACGGGACAAAACCCCUCUACGUGUAGAGGGUUGAUGGUACUGUAAGAAUAAGGGUCGGCUAACUUCGUGCCAGCAGCCGCGGUAAUACGAAGGACUCGAGCGUUAUCCGGAUUUAUUGGGUUUAAAGGGUGCGUAAGCGGACUUAUAAGUCCAGUGGUGAAAGCCCCAAGCUUAACUUGGGACUGCCAUUGAAACUAUUUGUCUUGAGUACAUUUGAGGCGGGCGGAAUGUGUCCUGGUA